rnacentral:rRNA from 1 species
AUACGGAGGAUCCGAGCGUUAUCCGGAUUUAUUGGGUUUAAAGGGUGCGCAGGCGGCCAUUUAAGUCAGCGGUUAAAUCGUGGGGCUCAACCCCAUUCUGCCGUUGAUACUGGGUGGCUUGAUUGCGGUCGAGGUUGGCGGAAUUCGUUGUGUAGCGGUGAAAUGCAUAGAUAUGACGAAGAACACCGAUUGCGUAGGCAGCUGACCAGACCGCAAAUGACGCUCAUGCACGAAAGUGCGGGGAUCGAACAGGAUUAGAUACCCUGGUAGUCCGCACAGUAAACGAUGAAUACUUGUUUUCGGCGAUAUAAUGUCGGAGGUAAAGCGAAAGCGAUAAGUAUUCCACCUGGGGAGUCCGCCGGCAACGGUGAAACUCAAAUGAAUUGGCGGGG